GAGAGUAUAGCUCAGUUGGUAGAGCACGGGCUUAGCAUGCACAGGGUCCUGGGUUCAAUCCCCAGCACCUCCA
rnacentral:tRNA from 1 species